AUUUUUGGUUCAUUUGCUUGUGCUAGGUACGGUUGAGGGUUUCACAAGUUAGCAUGGGAGGGAGGUUGAUCUUCCAAACAUUGAGGAUAUAUUUUGGGGGAUUAAAUUGAAUGUAUUAUGUACUAUUAUGGCAUGACUGAUGCCUUUAAUUUAUAUAAUUUCUUUGGCCUUUCAAAAAAAUGUGCAAUGGCCAAUUAUUAUAAUUAAGCUAAAG
rnacentral:lncRNA from 1 species